rnacentral:rRNA from 1 species
GACGAACGCUGGCGGCGUGCUUAACACAUGCAAGUCGAACGGUAAGGCCCUUCGGGGUACACGAGUGGCGAACGGGUGAGUAACACGUGGGUGAUCUGCCCUGCACUUCGGGAUAAGCCUGGGAAACUGGGUCUAAUACCGGAUAGGACUCCGGACUGCAUGGUCUGGGGUGGAAAGCUUUUGCGGUGUGGGAUGGGCCCGCGGCCUAUCAGCUUGUUGGGGGGGUGAUGGCCUACCAAGGCGACGACGGGUAGCCGGCCUGAGAGGGUGACCGGCCACACUGGGACUGAGAUACGGCCCAGACUCCUACGGGAGGCAGCAGUGGGGAAUAUUGCACAAUGGGCGCAAGCCUGAUGCAGCGACGCCGCGUGAGGGAUGACGGCCUUCGGGUUGUAAACCUCUUUCAGCAUCGACGAAGCGAAAGUGACGGUAGGUGCAGAAGAAGGACCGGCCAACUACGUGCCAGCCGCCGCAGUAAAAC